rnacentral:lncRNA from 1 species
AAGGUGAGACGUUGAGGAUUAUAAUAAAUACUGCGUUGAUGUCUUACAAGCAAGCCUAACAGCCGGCCGGUGGGUGAGACAGGGAUGCAGCUUAAGCCCCACCCUCUUCAACAUAUAUUUCAACGAAUUGGCCAGAUCAUCAGUUGGCACUAGAAAAGUCUCCAGCACCCGGCAUCAACCUACUAGAAUCUGAAGUCAAAUGAGACCUGGCUCUCAAGAGAAGACAGGCUAUGUGCACACUGCCCACAAAAUGAGGUGGAAACUGAGCUGCACUUCCUAACCUCCUGUCAAAUGUAUGACCAUAUUAGAGACACAUAUUUCUAUCAGAUUACACAGACCCACAAAGAUUUAGAAAACAAAUCAAAUUUGAUAAACUCCCAUAUCUAUUGGGUGAAAUAUCAGUGU